CCUACGGGGAGGCAGCAGUAAGGAAUAUUGGACAAUGGCCGCAAGGCUGAUCCAGCCAUGCCGCGUGCAGGAAGAAGGCCCUAUGGGUCGUAAACUGCUUUUUGAACCAGAGAAAACCCCCACUACGUGUAGUGGGCUGAUAGUAUGGUUAGAAUAAGCAUCGGCUAACUUCGUGCCAGCAGCCGCGGUAAGACGAAGGAUGCAAGCGUUAUCCGGAUUCAUUGGGUUUUAAAAGGGAGCGUAGGCGGACUUGUAAGUCAGUGGUGAAAUCUGUGGGCUUAACCCACAAACUGCCAUUGAUACUGCAGGUCUAGAGUACAGUUGCCGUUGGCGGAAUAUGACAUGUAGUGGUGAAAUACUUAGAUAUGUCAUAGAACACCGAUUGCGAAGGCAGCUAACGAAGCUGUAACUGACGCUGAGGCUCGAAAGUGCGGGGAUCAAACAGGAUUAGAUACCCUGGUAGUCCGCACUGUAAACGAUGAUUACUCGUUGCUGGAAAGCAAUUUUCAGUGACCAAGCGAAAGCGAUAAGUAAUCCACCUGGGGAGUACGCCGGCGAACGGUGAAACUCAAAGGAAUUAGACGG
rnacentral:rRNA from 1 species